CGGGGUGUAGCUCAGUCUGGUGGAGCGCCUGCUUUGGGAGCAGGAGGUCAUGGGUUCGAAUCCCGUUACCCCGA
rnacentral:tRNA from 1 species